GGCCGGUUAGCUCAGUUGGUUAGAGCAUGGUGCUUAUAAUACCAAGCUUGCCGGUUGGAUCCCCGCAUCGGCCA